UCCAGUCAGGUCCUGUUUUCUGUCCUCGCUGGCCCGGCUGUUAGUUCUGCUGGUUCUGUUGCUUCCUCAGCCGCUGCUGACGGGGUUAAAGUCCACACGUUAGAGAGAGGAGACUCCGUCACCCGCAACGUCAAGGUCACCACAGUGGAGAGGAAGUCGUGUGGGUCGAGCACCACUUGGCGAUGCCUAGGUCUGCUCAGUCAUCUCCUGGAUCCACACACUUAACAUACUUUAAAAUUUGUCUCAGAGCAAUGCAAUUUAAAUGCAAUUUGUAAACUGUGAUUUUGUUGCUCUUUUUUUGUACAUGUGACAUCUAUUGCCUGUCUGUCUGAGCUGGGAGAGGGAUCCGUCCUCUGUGGCACUUUCUGGGUUUCUUCCAUUUUCAAUUUUUCUCCCCUGUUAAACGUUUUUUUUUCCUCAAUGUGGCAAGUUUUUUCUUACUCGAAUCGGGGGUCUAAGGACAGAGGAUGUCGUCUCACUGUGCAGAUUGUAAAGCCCAUUGAGGCAAUGUGAUUGUGAUUUUGGGCUAUAUAAAUAGAACCGAUCUGCAAUUGAUUUGACAUUUACAUUGCAUACUGUAGAGCAUUCUAGAGCUUAGGCACAGUUUGAUGUGUUGCAAAGAGCUUUCAAA